GACGUAGCCGCCACGAAGGCGCUAAGACGGAAAACGCUCUUAGCUAAGAGGAAAAACCUUCAAGAAAACAAGAUAAACCUUACAUGAAGCUGCUGAGCAUUUGUUUCGUAUCGUCAUUGACUCUCGAGUUGGCAAAGCUGAUGCAGGAGCAGUAUAGCGCAACCCAAGCACACCACUUCAACUGCAAAUGACAGCCCUGAGGUUACCUGAGGUUUCAAUCAACUUGCCUAAAAGGUCAACACUUCAAAAACGAAGGGUGAACAGGAUCACUGUCCAGAGCGAACGAUGCACUAGAACCCCUACCCCAGCCAGGAACCAGGAGAUAUGGAUCUACACAUGGCCCAAAGCUGGAUCCGAAGAACUCAACUGAAGCAGACUGAGGCUAAAAUACUGCACUGCCAGCUAUCAAAGAUUGAUCUACCUUCCCUUCCCGCCCAACCACUUGGGCUAGACAGUAGAGCGAAGGCCCAUUUUUUUGCAAGCCGGUUUUCAAUCCCCGACUGUCCAAGUGGUUGGGCACAAUUUCGUCCCCAUGUCCCAUCAAAAAUCCUUAUAUUGAUCCCUUCCAAAUGCUAUAUAGUUAUAAUGAUUUAGUGAUUUCUCCUAAUAAUUCCCUUCCCUUCCCUUUCCCUCCAGAAAGUAGAAAGGGUGUAAAAAGAGAGGCAAACCACAAGGAAUACAACUAAGAAGAUUCCUGAUGAUCUAAAACUGCACGCUGGAAAGCACGACAGACCGCAUAUAGU